UUGAGUGCUAAAACUCACUAUCCUUUGUGAACUUACCAGUGGGCAUAGCGUUGUUUCGGUGGUGCUGUCCCGGGGGGACAGUGGCCGGCGUAAUACCUGGCAAGCCACCGGCAGCGCGAUCAACUAAACUCUUGUUUUUAUUGUGAUUACUUCUGAGUUAGCUUCGAGAGGAGCAAAAAAAAAAAUGAAUCA
rnacentral:misc_RNA from 1 species